AACGUAGGGGGCGAGCGUUAUCCGGAUUUACUGGGCGUAAAGCGCAUGCAGGCGGUUUGGUAAGAUAGACGUGAAAGCUCCUGGCUCAACCGGGAGAGGUCGUUUAAGACUGCCAGACUUGAGUUAGGUAGAGGAGAGCAGAAUUCCCGGUGUAGUGGUGGAAUGCGUAGAUAUCGGGAGGAAUACCAGUGGCGAAGGCGGCUCUCUGGGCCUUAACUGACGCUCAGAUGCGAAAGCGUGGGGAGCGAACGGG
rnacentral:rRNA from 1 species